UGGCUCGAGACGACGCUGGCGGCGUGCCUAAUACAUGCAAGUCGAACGGUCUUUCUAUGGAAGCUUGCUUCCACUGAGAAGAUAGUGGCGAACGGGUGAGUAACACGUGGGUAACCUGCCCAUAAGAGGGGGAUAACAUCCGGAAACGGGUGCUAAUACCGCAUAGUUUUCUUGAUCGCAUGAUUGAGAAAGGAAAGACGGCCUUUGUGCUGUCGCUUAUGGAUGGACCCGCGGCGUAUUAGUUAGUUGGUGAGGUAACGGCUCACCAAGACGAUGAUACGUAGCCGACCUGAGAGGGUGAUCGGCCACAUUGGGACUGAGACACGGCCCAAACUCCUACGGGAGGCAGCAGUAGGGAAUCUUCCGCAAUGGACGAAAGUCUGACGGAGCAACGCCGCGUGAGUGAAGAAAGGUUUUCGGAUCGUAAAACUCUGUUGUCAGAGAAGAACAAGUUGGAGAGUAACUGCUCCAGCCUUGACGGUAUCUGACCAGAAAGCCACGGCUAACUACGUGCCAGCAGCCGC
rnacentral:rRNA from 1 species